GAUACCGUAAAUACCGAGUGGCGGUUUCGACGGGCCGAUAGGGGGUGUAGAGGGACAACUUGUAGCACUUCGCAUAGCUCACACUGUAUACCGGCGGCGACUAUUUAUCUAACUAUACGGUGCACGGAGUUUCGUAUUUCCAACGGUGCAAUCACUCGAUAAGGCGUAUGAAAUACGCCGUACAUACGAAAAGGCGUGUAGUAUCAUUUCCGAGUGUGGAGCGGGAACGUAUCAUUGCGUGCACGAAGAAGAACAGCCGGCAAUUUCUCGGAAUAAAUUGUGGUAGCCGGUGUCUGGAUAUCCCCGCAGCACUUUUCGUCCGCGCGGAGGGUAUUUUCGUGGCAUUCUAACGAUGUGUCACGAGAUCUACGAGGCUGUUUGUCGGUGAGCACAAAAAUAGGUCUCACUCCGCACUCACUUCAUCACUCAAGCGGCCCGCGAUAGCGUCAGCGCGCGCCUUCCCUUCUUCUUGUCGUUAGACACAACGAACGCCCGACGACUGGUUGGCUGAAAAUGUCGGCGACGUCGUGCGUACCAUUAGCUCGGCCGUCACGGUGUUACCGUCGGAUUAACCUUAGCCGAGUGUAGCAUACACGAACGCCCCGGCGGUUUCAUCGGAGCUAUGCGUUUCAGGAACUUUACAGCGGCAAGCCAGUUGCCGGAGAGCUCGGCUAUCCGACUGCUGGAAUGUUCCUUACGAAUAGAUACGCCAUCGGGUGUCAAUUAUGGGACUGCGCGCGUCUACCGGAUGUCCCGAGGGCAAAGAGGAGUGUGCGAUUUAUAUUGGACUCGAUGCUUUAACAACGACGCGAAUCGUCCAGCAAAUUGUCCAGUAGAUUUACCAGAAGUAUAAAGCGCAAGGACAGAAUUUUAGGUACAGCGAUGAUGUCCGGAUCGUCCCCCCUUGCUCUCGACAAGUGGAGCACGACUGUCCUACGGAACAAAUGACCGCAGAAAAGACAUUCCGUGACCGUCCAUCUUCCUCGUUUUUGCUGAAAGACCGUUUUCCUUUGUCUCUUUUUCCUCCUUCCGAGGUACGGACAUUUUCUACGAUCACCGACGUGUUUGUUCAAGCAAUUAAGUUGUUCCUGGAUGAUGACGGCGACGACGACGACGACGCUGUCGAGACUACCCGAACGAUAAUGGCUCCAUUCGUUCGCGGAUAACUUCUUUAAACGCUAAGUUAAAUGGAUUUUAAAAAGCGGUUUAAUCGAGAAGUUCUGGAAUUCGUCUAUUUCGUACCAUGACUCGCGAGGUUCGAAUGCAAGGUGGUACAAAAAGACGCGAUUAGGAUCUGUUUCCCAUCAGAAUUCUGUGGGAAAUAAGAAGAUGGCCGACGCACGCACAUGUGUCUCGUAGACUUCAUUUUUCUCGGAAUUUACGGUAAUCUGAUAAUUAGCUGUGUAUAUCUGUUUCGCAACGCCGUCUCGUGAUUCCCUUUUUUCCCUCUUUGGAUACCCAUUUAUAAAUCGAUCACGAAACAUCACGCAUCAAACGAACUUGUUCGUAGCAUAAACGUCAUAGUUUAAAAUUAUAGAUCUCGAAAACCACGUAAAAUAUUACGUACCGUUAUCGUUACGUCAGGCUGUCCCAUAAUUAUGUUAACAACCGGAAAGGAACGAUUCCUGAAUUCGAAGCAACUUUUUCCUUAGCGAAAAUGCAAUUCGCUGCUUCGUUUACGAGUUAUUAACGAAAUACAGAGGUCAAUGAGUGAUCGCCCCGCCCUCGUGACCAUUGCUGCUGCGUCAGACGGCCAGUGCAAAGCGGCAUUGGCCGAAAGGGCGGAGCCCUGGCCGCGCUCGCUCUCCGAUUGGUCAGCGUUUUUCGUUAAUAACUCGCGAACGAAGCCGCGGAUUGCAUUUUCGC